UACGAAGGGGGCUAGCGUUGCUCGGAAUCACUGGGCGUAAAGCGCACGUAGGCGGCUUCUUAAGUCAGGGGUGAAAUCCUGGAGCUCAACUCCAGAACUGCCUUUGAUACUGAGGAGCUUGAGUCCGGGAGAGGUGAGUGGAACUGCGAGUGUAGAGGUGAAAUUCGUAGAUAUCGAGAAGAACACCGGUGGCGAAGGCGGCCAACUGGACGGUGACUGACACUGAGACGCGAAAGCGUGGGGAGCAAACAGG
rnacentral:rRNA from 1 species